rnacentral:sRNA from 1 species
GCCAGGUGUUGUGGCGGGCGCCUGUGGUCCCAGCUACUCGGGAGGCUGAGGCAGGAGACUCGCUUGAGCCCAGGAGCUGGAGGUUGCUGUGAGCUGGGACGCCAUGGCACUCUACCCAGGGGGACAGCUUGAGGCUCUAUCUCAAAAAAAAAAAGAGAGACAGAGUCUCACUUUGUCACCCUCGGUAGAGUGCUGUGGUGUCACAGCUCACAGCAACCUCCAGCUUUUGGGCAUAGGUAAUUCUCUUGC